UAGAUGCAAGGCACGUGGAUGUACAACAAGGACACAGGUGACGUAUCCGUACUCGCACUAGUUGUGUGCUCCACACGCCUCAUUGCUGCCAUAGUCGCUGUUGGGGAUCUCGGUACAAUUGCACUAUGCCGGCCGGGGCUGCUGCAUGGUCAGUGAGUGCACACGAGGACUGCAGGUGGCUCUCGCACAUGGUCUUCUUCCAAGGGAAGCUCUGCGCUCUUGACGGCAAUACUGACCCUGAGGAUCUUAUUGCCAUUGACAUUGUCGAUGAUGAUGACUGCCACGAGCCAAGGGUGUCUAGAAUUGAGCGCCUCAUUGUAGGUGCCUCCUUGCCACCCCAAAAUUAUAUUUUCUGGGAGGACUACCUCCUUGAAUCACAUGGCACACUACUAAUGAUCCGCAGAAAGCUUUACUACAAAGCAGAGCACCCGUCUGAAAGAAGACACGGCGGCAUUUUUGUGGCUGGUAGCAGCGAGUAAUCAAGUGUUUGAGGCUUACUUUGAGGAGGGCUUGUGGUCUGAGGUGAGGACUUUGGGGAAUGACCAAGCAUUGUUCCUUGGGCGAGGAUGCUCGAGAGCUAUCCAUGUGUCUCCGUACGAUCUUUCACGGGACUGUCUCUUCUUCCUAGAUGAUUACACCGACUGGAUUUGGAAGAAAACAACUACAUCUUGCGGAGUGUAUGACAUGAAAGAUGAGAAGGUCUAUUCGGCCUUGCCUAUGGUAUCUUGGAAGAGUGGAGAUGUCCCAGCAACCUGGCUUUUCUGACAAGGUGAGACACAUAAGCUGCAAGCAGCAGGGGAGCAUCUGCAGGAAAUUGUGGGACCAGAACAAGAUGAUCCUCAGAUGCUGGACUAUGGAGGGACUUGUGCUGCCGGUGCUUCUACUGCUCAGCGAAACUGCUAGGAAGGGUUGGUUAAAGAAAUCUUCAUGUAGCCAUGUGUUCCUACACAAAAGGCUAUGACAGUACUAAGGCACGCUUGGAUACCACUAGCUAGGAGCUGCGUGAAAAUAAUGUCUGGCCUGUUGUUGCCGUUAAACUUGUGUUUUCAUGUCUACGGCGUCACUUCAAACACCCUGUUCUAAUUAAAGGUGCUCCUUACAUUUGGUA